rnacentral:piRNA from 1 species
UACAAAGACAAGGAAGGAAGAGUUUGCCCC